GGACUCUUCCACUCCUGUCAUCCAUCCAUGAGACUGAAUCAUCACUUACUUGUGAGCUGGCAUAUGACCUGUCAUUCUGAUCUUUGUCAUCCACAAACACUGAUUCUAAAUCACUUGACUGAGUGGCCAGGACAUCCGUGUAAGGAACCUGAGAGCUCUGAUCCAUGGCUGCACGUAGAGAUGAUCCAGAAAUGCGAUACCUAUGC
rnacentral:misc_RNA from 1 species